GAUGAACGCUGGCGGCGUGCCUAAUACAUGCAAGUCGAGCGAACGGACGAGAAGCUUGCUUUUCUGACGUUAGCGGCGGACGGGUGAGUAACACGUGGAUAACCUACCUAUAAGACUGGGAUAACUUCGGGAAACCGGAGCUAAUACCGGAUAAUAUUUUGAACCGCAUGGUUCAAUAGUGAAAGACGGUCUUGCUGUCACUUAUAGAUGGAUCCGCGCUGCAUUAGCUAGUUGGUAAGGUAACGGCUUACCAAGGCAACGAUGCGUAGCCGACCUGAGAGGGUGAUCGGCCACACUGGAACUGAGACACGGUCCAGACUCCUACGGGAGGCAGCAGUAGGGAAUCUUCCGCAAUGGGCGAAAGCCUGACGGAGCAACGCCGCGUGAGUGAUGAAGGUCUUCGGAUCGUAAAACUCUGUUAUUAGGGAAGAACAUAUGUGUAAGUAACUGUGCACAUCUUGACGGUACCUAAUCAGAAAGCCACGGCUAACUACGUG
rnacentral:rRNA from 1 species